CUUGUGAUUCCAAAUUCAAUUUAGUUGUAUAAUAUAGGUGUUGCACUAAAAUUACAUGUUACGAAGAAUGCUUGAGGCAGACACAUUGAACAUGUUAAUUUAUUUUCUCUAGAUAUAAUUGUGAUUUAAAUGCAAUAUGGAAAGCGAGUCUCCUAUCCAAACUUGCAAAAUAGUUGACCGCCAAGUCUACUAUUUAAAGUACGUACACAUACAAAAUUACAUAAGAAAAGUUAGCCUGUUGGAAUAUUUUACAAGUGCUACGUACAAAACAUAGUUCCAAAAUGCUGGAGGACUAAACCGUAGGUUUAGUAAAUGCUAGUAACCCACGUUCUGUACAGUGAAUCUGUAGGGACAUGUAUUGGUUAUACAGAAGUACAAGGGCUAACUGGAAUAAUGUCAAAGAGAUAAGGAUUUCCACAAUCAUCUCGCUAUCGUGUAUGGUUCCAAAUCGAGAGUUCUACCUGUCACCACCGAUGCUAGGGAUUUGCCCUCCAGCCAAAAAAUUGCGCUGCACGCGCCGGAGGAUUUGGUUGUUCUGCCGCCACCUCAUCUCAGGUCGUGGCCUCGAUGGGGCUGCGUCGGAAGGCACCGUGUUCUGGCCGGUUGAUGGAUGACCGCGCCGUGCAGCCGGAUGGAUCCGUCACUCCAAUCGCCGGUUGCGAUCUGCACCGUGCUGCUCCGCCACCGUCGUCUUGUGCGUUCGCUGGAGGGCAUUGCUGCAGCGUACCAGCCAAGGGCCGUGGCUUCCGGUGCGGACGAGCCGGAGGGCUUCGCCGCUGUCGUUGAAGGUCAGGGCUAGUAGCGUCGCCGAGCGUGCGCCGACCGUGGGCCGUCGUCACCACCACCGUUCACGGAACGAAGCUCCGACAGGUGUUGGUUGCGCACGCGCCGAUGUGAGCAGUCGGCCCCGCUAGAUCUCCAUGCGGCAGGAAGAAUCUCGUCGGAGGGGUCGUGGCCGCGUCGGCACGAAGGCCCUCCGUCGGGAUCAGCCGUGCGCCGCAUCUCACCGGAGAAUUGCAGUCGCCAGCCUUCAUACUACUUUUCUUCUUCUCCCUGUUUUCUCUUGGUCUGAUGCUCUCGAUAGAGACAUAGUCUAUGAUAACAUGAAAAGAAAUAGAGAUUGAAAGAAAGAAUGAAUUGAGAGAAUCGAGUGAUUGUAUUGAUGAUUGAGUUGGGUAUUUAUAUGUCUCCAACGGAUGCAUACAAAGGUCGGUUUAUAAGGAUUGUGUCCUCUCGAAGGGACGCAACUUUUGGACAAAAUUAACUACUGUACCUAAUUAGAUUAAGCUGUAAGCUAAUCUAAUAACUGCAUAGGUAGCUCAGGAGUUAAGUUAAUCUAUUCCUAACACAUCACUCCGGAAGGAGGGGUUUGAGAUGGCGGUGUGUAUGAGGUCACGUGUGGCAGUUGGAGGUUAGAGUGAACCUGUGUUACUAAAACUUAUAUUAGUACUCCCUUCGAUACAAAUUAUCUAAAGUUGUAAUAAAGCCAUGUCAAUCAAUUUGAAUAUAAGGGGGUCCUAGUUUUAGCCAUUACGUGAGAACAUAUUUCCCAUGUUCCAUAUUUCAGAUCUCCUACUAGCUUAAAUAACUCCCAUGAGCCCUUUGAAUCGAGGAUACACUAUCAGUGUUAUUGCAUAGGGUCUCCUCCCCCCCCCNCCCCCCCCCACCAUUUCACUUAGGCCCGAAGAUGGGUAUUUUAAGAUAUGAUGUUUUUUUUCAGUUACACGGUAAAAAUAAAGGGUUUGUUUUGUAAAACAAUGGGUAUUGUGUGACACGUCUGGUUACCACCUUCAGUAACCCAUGCAAUCAAGCUACAGUAAUAGCCAAGAUUUAGCUAAGCUAUUCUUGCUAAAUAGUGGUUGAUCACAUUUGGAAUCAUAUCUUAUUUCAAAUUCCUUUUGAAAUUCAAAAUUCAAUUAAUAAGUGAAUAAAUUCUUUUGGCAAACAUGAAAACUAAAAUCAUGAUUGGUUUUCAAAUAUUUACUAAGUAUUUAUAAAAUGGAAAUAACCUUUUUAUAAACUAUUUUAAUGCCUCAAAACUUAUAAGAGAGGCCAACACAAUUAUUUAAAUGUCUUUUAAAUUAUAGAAAUUAUAAAGUAUUUUAGUUGGUCCCAAACUCUUUGGGGCACAGUCUAAUAUUUCCACAUGAAUAUUUGACUAAGUGCCUUAUUUUACAAAAGCAAAUUGGCAUUAAAACAAUUGCAAUAGAAAUAAAUAAAUCUUAAACUAAAGCAGAAAUUAAAUAAAAGAAAAGGGCGAACCCAUGUUUCCCCUUCUCGGCUCUAGCCCACUAGGCCAAUAGGUCGGGCCACCUACCUCCCCCUUCUCCCUCCUCUCGCUAGAGUGGCUAGGGGAGGGGGAUGUCCACCACGAUGACCCCCGACCACACGUCGGCCGCCCUCCCCUUAAAACACUAGCGGACAAACCCCCCUCAACCCUAGCUCCACCCCCGUCCCCCUCUCCCCUCUUCCUCCUCCCUCUUCCGAGCCCGACGUCGCCGCAUCACCAACGUUUGCGCGCUCCGGCUCUACCCUGAGUCGUGCCCGAUCGUCCAGCAGCUCCACAGGGUUCCCCUUCUUCCUCUGGGAUGCUAGAUUGACGCGUGGGAGCAACAAUGAUGCCUCAUGUGUUGUUCCCCUCGCCAAGAUCCGCCUCGGCACACUCGUCUCCGACGAGCCCCAGCUUCCCCGAGCACCUCUCCACCUUCUCUGUGAGCCUGGUCCUCCUUGACUUCCCCCAUCUCCCCUUCACGCCCCGUUACUCCGUUGCCGAUGAGGUCGUGCCUCUACCGCCGCUCGACGCCAACUUGGUGGUUGUUUCCGACCGUCCCCGCUCCUGUUGUUCGUUCCAGUGGGUGCGCGUGAGGCCCUCGUCUGAUCCAUGCCAACCAUCGCUCAAAUGGUCGCAUGCAGCUCCACUUACGUCGAGCUCCUGUGUGCGCCACUGCUCGCGUUGAUGCCCUAGUAUGCUCCGACCAUCCCACGCUUGUGUAGCCGCCGUGGAUCAACGCGGUGCGUCACCGGCAACCGAAUGCACACAACCACGCAUCAAAUGGACGCCUGUAGCGGGUUUUCGGCCAAGUCCAGCCAAUGUCGCGGCUGUUUUAGUCACCGGAGGCACGUUGCCCGUUCAAACCACCUCGUGGACCACUCACACAUGGACCCUGCAGGGUUAGCGACUAAUAUGGCCGCUAAUCAACCACUGACAUGUGGGCCCAUUACUAUAGUGUUAGGAUUAGAUUAACUCUAACAAAUGACUAAUUGAGGCACUCACAAUUGGGCCCCACAUGCCAACGAACCCCUUUUAGCUAAUUUAAACACUCGUUAAACUCUUUGUGUAUGACAUGUGGGGCCCUAGCGCUAUUUUAAUGGAUAAGGUUGGCUGAGUGAGCUUGCUGACUCAGCUUCUUGCCCCACCAGUCAGUCUCUGUUGGCUGGGCAGUUGCCCCAGUCAACAUGGCCCAUAGUCAGCCCUUGUGGAAUUUGGUUGGGUAUACUUCUAGGUGUAUCUAGCAUUUAGCCACCUAUUUUUGAAAUUAAUAAUAAAUCCAAAAAUUGUAGAAUUUUGUUUAAUAUUUAUAAAAUCAUAUAAAAUAGAUUAUAACUCAGAUGAAAACAUUUCAUAUAUGAAAGUUGUUUAGAAAAAUCCGACGAAUCCGAAUACGUUGUCCGUUCAUGUGUCACAUGCCCCUAACAUGAUGAACAUGGAAUUUUUCUCUUCGGUUCAUCUGUCCGAUAAUAGCCAAAGACCCGGAAAGUAUUGUCAGAUAUCAUCCCGCUCCGUAUGCAACGGGUAGUACUGCGUUAGCGCAUCCCUAGUACUGCAUAUUGCCAUGUCAUGCAUCGUGAUGCACCUGCUUGCUUUUAUUUAUUGUUUUUUACCCCUCUUGUCUCUGGUAGACGUCGAAGCUGACGUUGUUUCCUGGUAUGACUACACCCCUGACGACCAGUCUUUUGCAGCAGAGCAACAAGGCAAGCAAAUGUCGGGACCCCGAUCCUAAGCCAUAGGAAUCCAGCCUGUAACACAUCACAUCUCUUUGCGGUCUCACACACGGUUAUCCCCACGGCUGCAGCCUUACCUUAGCCGGGACCGUUUGCGCCUUUUGACUCGCGUAUGUGAUUGUGUCGCUAGCAAUCCAAUGUCAAAGAAUCCGGAUCGACAUGACUAGUCAUAAACUAAAGUGGCAGUUCCGUACAGGGACAGACAUACAUGACCCAGCAAGCUACAAGGACUCCAUUACAUGCGCGUGACAUUUCCCAAAGGGACAGACACAACAGCUAAGAAGGACACAUGCCGGUCAACCAAUGUGUCCGGAGCAGUAGCGAACUACCAAGGCUCGACGGAAUCACAAAGGGGCAUUUCCCCGUAAGGAGUGCUACUUAGGCAUACGACUAGGUAAUCGAACCCCAUACAUAUCAAGUACAACACACGUACGCAUGGCAUACCGAUAUGUAUAGAUACAUUGAUGGCAUCACAACAUAACCAUAAACAUACAAACUUUAUUUAGAAGGCUCGGAAGAUCCACACACAUAAUAUUACAUAGGUAGGGGUCUCACGACCCAUCAUCAUGAUUCAUACACACAAGUCUUACAAGCCAGCGGAAGAGUAAAACUGUGUGAGUACAGACAGAUGGAAAGAUAAAGGCACAUGGCCUGACUAUCUACAAACCCAUCCUAGGGCCAGAUCGUAGCUGGGAUUCCAGCUACUCGUCGUCGUCGAUGUCUAGGUAGAACCCUCCACUAGGGUCAUUAACAACCUCUGCAACAAUUAUUAAGCAAAUGUGAGUACAAAAGUACUCAUCAAGACUUUAGGAAAUCUAUCUACUCAUGCAAUGUAUCAUCAAGGAGUUGUGGGGUUUCAUGCGGAAAGCCAGCAUUUGACUCUUGGCUAGGCAACUUGUAUUUUUAAAUAGUUUUGACAACGAUGUUUCUCGCACACGAGUCCACCAACACCACAACAAUACUCCAUCGUGGAAUCAUUCCAUCUCCCUACGGAAAUGCCGUCCACGACACUCACGCUUAUCUUGACAAUUUUAUGAGUAGCCAUUAUAGUUAUCUAUGAACAACAUAUGCUUCCAAGUAGUCCAUAUCCGUGGACGCGGCUAUUCGAAUAGAUCAUAACCCUGUGGGGGUGUACUACUUCACACACGCUCUCGCCACUUAUCACCAUGUGCACGUUUUGCACCUCGGCAACCUUCAAGCGGAAGCCCAGCGAGGGAGUCGGCCACGACCGUUAACCAUGCUAAUACUUAGUCCAGGUCUAUCGCCUAUCUGAGGGUAACCCGCACGGAAGUCCGGCCGAGGUUUCCGCCACGGCCCCAAAUGAUGUGCGCAGGGUUCCCAAGUCCACUAUCCGGGUGCCACUUGGUACACCGUGCCACUGCCUACCGCAUCAUAGCCCACCUCUAAGGUCAGCGCUACGCACGGCCUCCAGCAUGACUAUAAACACCAGAAACUACUUGCAACUCCUGGACCGAGUACUAAGCGAUUAAUAAGUCGAGAGGGUCAAUUAAGUAUCCCAACGUGUGGUAGUAUCUAGUCUUGGAUUACAUACACGGAACUUAGUUCCUAAGGACGGUUCCAAUGAAACAACCCGCUAUGUACUCCUACAUAGCCUUCCACCGGUACCUUUACCAAAUCAGGUUCAACACACCACCUUUAAUAACCGAACACAUUCUCACGAUCCUGUUCAUCACCCAGAUGAUAGACCAUACUCAACUCUAAGCAUAGCAUGCAUAGCAGCAUAAGGCACAUCAUGGCUCAAGCAUCUACCAGGUAUGCUAGGUUGCAACGUUCAGCUAUUUACUGUGACAAGGACAUGUCAUGCAAAGGAAGUGGGUUCAACUAACGUGAUAAAAGCAGUGAAUGCAUUUUGACCUAAUGCAAGAAACAAGAGCAGGAGCGAGAACAUGGGAUUUAUUAGGAUGAUCAAAAUGGUUGCUUGCCUUGUUGCUGAGCAGAGGGAUAAUAUCUGUCAGUCGGAUAUUCGGUGGAAUCUGGAGGAGCGGGGCCUACCGGUAAAAACAGCAUCAAUCAAUAACAUUCAUAUGCAACAAGAUGAUGCAUGAGCAUGGCAUGAAAAUGAAAGGUGGUAGGCUAAUGUAGCUACCUUUUCUUAAGUUGAAGUUGAUUUGAAUCAAGAUUCAAAUAUCAUUUCAAACAAGGUAUUUUUCGAAUACCCUUUUAAUUGAUUCGACCUGAUGCUCAGGUAAUCUUGUUUUAGCAUGCAUGAGGAUGGUACGUUGGGGUGCUGGUUGUGCUUGAUCAUUGUUUGGUCAUAAUAUUUGAAGUGGAAUUCAAAUGGAUUUCAAAUUCCAACUCCAAUUAUUUAAUAAGGCUAUCCUAUUCAUCAUUUUAUCUGUUUGGUGAUGUUAACAUUUUCAAACAUGUUUGAAAAAUAUUAAAAUCAGAUUCCUUGGAUUUUUCUGAUCAUUUUUCAUAUAUAAAUUAUUUUCAUUGGAGUUAUAAAUUAUUUUCUAUGAUUUUUAGAAGUUUUGGGCAUUUUCUAGAAUUCUUUUAAAUCAGAAAACUCUUUAUUGCGUCAGAUCUACGUCAGCAUUGCGUCAGCAGUCGGCCGACCUGGUCAGGUCAAACCUGACAGGUGGGGGCCAUUGGUCAGCGACACAGGGGAUAAUCCCACGCUGACCAGCCCCUAAGUGGGUAUGACCCACCACUAGGGCCACUGCCAGCGUCUAAUUAGCGCUAAGUAAUCGGGGAUUAGCUGGCCAUGUCGUCCCCUGCCGGAGACUGACCGGCGGCGACCAGAUCCCCGGCGGAUCUUCGCCGGAGAAGCACCAGAGCUUGCUGUGGUGCUCGAAUCGAGUGCCGAGAGCACUUGGAUGAUCCCCAGGCUCGGCCUCAUCCACUACAGGCUUCAGGAGGGACUGAGGGUGGCUGGAGAUCACCGGCGACGAGCCGAGGCGGCUGACGGAGCUCGGGCUCGUCGGUCUCGUGGCUAGAGUGCAAGAAAGCGAGGGGAAACGCGCGCGAGCUCACGGUGGAGACGAUGGGAGGAUGAGACGGCUCGGGGAGGUGCUGUGGACGGUGAUUCAAUGGAGACUUGCCGGCGGCCGGAGGUUGAAGUCGACGACGAUGUGGCGCAGCAGAGCUCGGGGAGGUUGAUUCCUUCGGCGUACACGUCGAGCUUGACGAGGCGGAGAGGAUGGAGCACUCGGGGAGGGUUCCCUGUGGCUAGAGGGCUCGGGCGCCUCAAGUUCAAGCUCCUGCUAAUGGCAGCAGGGAGAAGAGAGAAUAAAACCGAGAGAGGGGGAAGAAUGGAGAGCGGGGGAGGAUAAGGACGCGCUCGGGGGACUCAUUCCCGACGUCGCACUGUCCUGGGGGCACCACGGAGCGCCACGGCGAAGCAGGAGGUGGUGGGGAGCCGCCGUGGUCGAUCUCUCCUCUGCCAGAAGGCAGAGGAAGAAGAUGACCCUGCCCCUGUGGGCUGGGCCUCUACAGGUGAGCGUAGGAUAGAUUUUUUUCUUUUUCUUCUAUUUCUGUUUUCUGCUUUAUUUGGUGAUAUUAAUUGCUAUUUAUUUUGGCUUCAAAAAGCAAUUCAAAAAUUAGUUUGAAUAGCCCUCAGUGUUAGUUGGAAUAUUCCCAACUACUCCUAAAGUUUUCAACAUUUUUGAAAACUUGAAUGUUUUUGAAUUCAAAUUUAAGUUUGAAUUCAGGGGCUUUCUGAAUUUGAAUAAAAUGCCAAGGGUGUUUUGAAAAUAGUUUUCUCUCGUGAUAAUUUGUUUUCAAUAUUUAUCAGAAAAGAUGAACUUUUCUUGAGGCCAUUUUGGGUUCAUUGAUUUUGGCAAGUUUAAUUUCCUUUGAAUUAAGAAGUGGCUAGGGUUUUUGGGUUGUGUUUCACCACUUCCUUUGGGUUUGUUUCAAUUACUUGGAUGCAAUGGAAAACAUGAGCACAAUUACUAAACCUAAUAGGGAUCAAGGAUGUGACAACAAGGACCCCUUGAUCAUUUCUACAUCACCCAUUCUUUCUCCCUCAUGCUUGCAUUAGAUUUUUGCUACUGUUGUAGAUAGCUCCUAUUUUGAUGCAUAACAUGUUUUUGUUAAACUGCUAUUGUACCCUACUGGAUAUCAAAUGCUUAGUAUAGGUGGAUUAGUGAUCCCUAGUGACCCCACUUAGUCUCAGUUGCCCUUGCUUCAUCAUCGAAGAGUCGAAGAUUCGAUCAACUGAUCGACAAGCCAUGACUCAUCACAUCACCUCACACCCCAAGUCCUACAACUCUGCACAUCUACUAUCGAAUACCAAGGGUGACACCUCAUUAUGUACUCCUGAUGUUAGCUUUGAAGUGUAGUUAACAGGAGAUGAAUUACGGAGGGUGAUUCCUCCUUCACCACUUCCGAUAACGACUCUCUCGUGCAACCCCUCAAGGGUGAACCAUCGAGGGUGAUUCCUCCAUCGUUACCUUGACGGUUAUGUCGAUUGGAAUCCAUUGAGGGUGAUUCCUCGGAUUCCUAUGAUGUUAUAGACACACGGUUACUUCCACUUUACUAGUGGAACACGAUGAGAUGAGUGGUGCGGGUGGAUUCCCGUGUGAUUGUGACGAGGCGUGGUUGGGCAUUCUUGGCCCUUGCCACACAUUCUCGAGACGGGGCGGCGGGACCACACAUCAUGGACCAUUGAUCAUCACCAUAGUUAACAAGACAUUAAUGGGAUUGGGUAUUUGAUGUGAGUUGGUCGUUUGACCUAUACGCACUAACCUUCAUGUGGGGACAGUUAUGGGCACUGAGUGUCAUGGGCAAAUAGCUUAGCAUAGUUCUGAUGUCAGUCUUGCAAGUACUUUGGAUGAGUACUCACUGUUGCUUUGCUCCCCUUUUUCCUCUUGAUACGAUUGCCGCGACCAGAUGACGGAGCUUCGGAGAUGGUUGAUUCCACCGACGACUACUACCCCGAUGAAGCCUCAACCACUAACAACCCGGAGUAGUUAGGAGGCUCCCACGCAGGAGGCCUUGGCUUUUUUAUCUGAUUUUAUGUUUGUGCUAGCUUUCUUAAGGAAAGACUUGUUUACUUAUGUUUGUACUCAUAUAUUAUUUGCUUCCACUGACUCGUGUGUAUUCGAGCUUAUGCAUUCGAGCCCUUGAGACCCGUGGCUUGUAAUAUGAAGCUUGUCUGACUUUAAUUUGUGUAUAGAGUUGUGUUGUGAUAUCUUCCCGUGAGUCCCUAAUUUUGGCCGUACACAUUUGUGUUUAUGAUUAGUGUAGGAUUAAGUUGGGGGCGUCACAAGUUGGUAUCAGAUCCGACUGCCUAUAGGUAGCCCCGUUUCCAACUCCGUGGCCAAAGUUGAGUCUAGUGUUUGAAAAACUUUACUAACAUUAUUGUGUGGCUUACGGGCCCACAUCUCAAUCAGGUGGUAUUAGGGUCUUUUACUCCUCUUCUAUACUGUUUGUUCUAAUCUCUAUUCUAUUUCGGGUUAGAGAUUUUGCUAACUCUAAAUCUAGGUUCUCAUAACUACUUCCCCCAGGAGAGACCCUCAUUCGAGUCGAUGGCUUGAAUCAUCAGACGCCUCCGAAGAUAUUCUCCGAAGUUCUCCCGAGGACUUCUGCUCAUUGCUUUUGCGAUUUUUGUCCUCUGUCAACCCCUAUGGAUGAUUGCAUACAAUUUUCAUCCAUACUUUCUUUUCCAAUUGCUCUUGUUUUUACAAGGCACAUCAAAUUAUCUUCCCAGAGAUUCGUUCAUCCUUUGUUGUCAUGGAUUUCGCAUGUCCUUUGAAUUGCUAUUCGAUCUUUCGAAAUCCUUAGUAGCCUAUUGCUCUUGAGCAUUCUCACCUGCUUGUAUUAUGGUUAAUUCCAUAUUGGAAGGAUCGAGAUGGACCUGGAGGGGGGGGUGAAUAGGUACAAUUACAAAUUUUAAUUGUUUCUUAGCAAUUUUAGGCAAUAAUGCGGAAUAUGAAGGUGAGCCUAACAAUUGCAAAGAUGGUAGUCGUGCUACGCGUACUAAGAAAUUCAACAAUUAAUUAAAGAGUUAAGCACAAGUAAUGCAAGUAGAAUAAGAAAUAUCACAAAGACGAAUAACUACAAGUAGAGAGUUAGGGUUUGGGAUAACCGCAAUUCUGAGAGAUGAAGAUGUAUGUAGAUGUUCACUUCCUUGGAGGGAAGCUACGUCACCGUUUAGAGAGGUGGAUGUUACCACGAAGGCACGCCAACACCACGAAGGCUCACCCUAUUCUCUCUUUGAGACAACAUUACGAAGGCGAUUCUCAACCACUAGUGGUAGACCUUGGGGUGGUCUCCAAACCCUCACAAACUUUCCGAGGGUAAUCACGAUGAACGAUUCCUCGCCGGAGUACUCCUACCGCCUAGGAGUCUCCAACCUCCAAGAGUAACAAGAUGCGCCUAAAAACAAGGGGGAUCAACUUUUGCUUUGGUUAAUGUGUAGAUCACGCACUCCUCCUUCACUUCUCAAAAGAUCAAGAGAUUUUGUUGGCUAAGGAGGCAGAAAUCCAAGAAAUAAAGGUCUAAAAAUGGUGGAGAGAGAAAAAUGGAGUUGCUACCGCGCUAGAGGAAGACAAAGGCUAUUUACAGGUGGGGAAGAAAUCCAGCCAUUGGGGGCCAGAUUUCUGCCAACCCGAGAAUUUCUAGGGGGACCAGAGGUUCCGGACCCCGGAAGUUCCGGCCAGAAUCCGGGCAGGUUCCGGCUUAAACAGAAAUUUUGCACCCGGUUGGAGUCCCUCGGAAGCACUCAAUAUGAGGACGGAAGAUCCGGAGCCUGGAAGCUCUGGACGACCAGGAAGUUCCGGCUCUGAGAAGUUCCAGCCAGGGUCCGGCCUCUAUAGAAACUUUGCACAGAGACUGGCAGUUUUUCUGGUUGCCCCGGAAGUUCCCGAGACCUUUUGGUCCCGAGAAGUUCCGGCCGUCCCGGAAGUUCCGGCCUAGACAUAGGAUUUGCAUUGUCAAUUUUAGCGGAUUUGAGAAAUGGUUUUCGAGAACUUAUUUUUAUGAAGAGUUGAUUCCCAGAUAAUUUUCACGAUGCAUCCCCUCUUAAUAGUGCGGUUGCCCUAAGGACUCAAGAAAGAAAGAAAAAGUUGGCACUCCGUCUUUUUCCUUUUUCCGAGUAGAGGGGAAAUAACCAUCCAUGUUUCUCUUUACUUUUGUUGGAGAUGUUUACACUAGAGCAUGUGGUUAGAAAUACAAAUGAGAUUGUCAUAGAUGUCAAAAAUAAUUAAGGGCAAUGAUGCACUUUCAAUCUUCCCCUUUUUGACAUAGAUGAUAAUAAUGCUUGAGAGGGUAGGCACACAAAGUAUGUAUUUUAUAGAGCAUUUUUUAUGAAAGGAAAUAGCUUCCCCACAACUUAUGCCUUAUUUUAGAUUUAUAUUUGAAUGUUAAAGACACAAUUGGAAGUAGCUCCCCUCACACUGUGCUACCAAUACAAUCAGGACAUAGCAACAUGAAAUGAUUUACUAACCUUAAUUUUUCUGUGUGACGACACAUAUAUGGAAGAUGCCUUGCAGUACAUGUAACCCAUAAAGUGUACACACAUGGAUAGAUAGUUUUUAACAAAAACACAACGGUAAGGAUCAAAUAGUAGCAAGUAAAGCAAAGGUAGAAAAUAAAGCAAGGAUAGCAAAUAAGAGA
rnacentral:lncRNA from 1 species